GAAAUGAACUAUACAUCUGAAGAUAAGCCUUGUCCCCGUGGUGAGAUUUGUGUAAGAGGCCCCAUAGUGUUCCAGGGAUACUACAAGGAUGAAGUACAGACGCGAGAAAUGAUUGACAAAGAUGGAUGGCUUCACACCGGAGAUAUUGGAGUGUGGCUACCUGGGGGGCGCUUAAAGAUAAUUGAUAGGAAGAAAAAUAUUUUCAAGUUGGCACAGGGAGA
rnacentral:misc_RNA from 1 species